GGGCCCGCACAAGCGGUGGAGCAUGUGGUUUAAUUCGACGCAACGCGAAGAACCUUACCAGAUCUUGACAUCUUCCGCUACGCCUCGAGAGAGGCGGUUCCCCUUCGGGGGACGGAAUGACAGGUGGUGCAUGGGUUGUCGUCAGCUCGUGUCGUGAGAUGUUGGGUUAAGUCCCGCAACGAGCGCAACCCCUAAUCUUAGUUGCCAGCAUUCAGUUGGGCACUCUAAGGUGACUGCCGGUGACAAACCGGAGGAAGGUGGGGAUGACGUCAAAUCAUCAUGCCCCUUAUGAUCUGGGCUCACACACGGUGCUACAAUGGAUGGUACAACGGGAUGCGAACCCGGCGAGGGGAGCCAA
rnacentral:rRNA from 1 species